CGCAGACGUCACUGGUAGCUGUGAGUGAGUGUGUUACCAAAUGCCACCUCAGUUCUGCUCCAGGGUGGCAGGGACAGGAGGUGGGAGAGCAUUGCUUUCCC